rnacentral:rRNA from 1 species
AUUGAACGCUGGCGGCAGGCCUAACACAUGCAAGUCGAACGAGUGGCGGACGGGUGAGUAAUGUCUGGGAAACUGCCUGAUGGAGGGGGAUAACUACUGGAAACGGUAGCUAAUACCGCAUACUAUCGGAUGUGCCCAGAUGGGUUAAGCUAGUAGGUGGGGUAAAGUCUCACCUAGGCGACGAUCCCUAGCUGGUCUGAGAGGAUGACCAGCCACACUGGAAUGAGGAAACGGUCCAGACUCCUCCGGGAGGCAGCAGUGGGGAAUAUUGCACAAUGGGCGCAAGCCGGAUGCAGCCAUGCCGCGUGUAUGAAGAAGGCCUUCGGGUUGUAAAGUACUUUCAGCGGGGAGGCGUUACCCGCUGAAGAAGCACCGGCUAACUCCGUGCCAGCAGCCGCGGUAAUUC